GUAGAUACUGGAGACACUUUCUUCAAGGACAUAUGCAGAUAGCUAAUCACCUGGCUGUUCCUAGGUCCCCCAGCCUCCUGCCACCAUCAUUCAGCAGCUCCCUCAGCAGCCACUCAUAGCACAGAUUCCUCCUCCCCAGGCCUUCCCUACUCAACGGUCAGGAAGUAUUAAGGAAGACAUGGUGGAGCUGCUGCUGCUGCAGAACGCACAGGUGCACCAGUUGGUCCUGCAGAACUGGAUGCUCAAGGCCCUGCCCCCAGCCCUGCAGGACCCGCCACAUGUGCCCCCGAGGGUCCCACGAGCUGCCAGGCCAAGGCUGCCUGCCGUGCACCACCACCACCACCACCACCAUGCUGUGUGGCCACCUGGGGCUGCCACUGUCCUCCAGCCCGCCCCCAGCCUGUGGACGCCUGGCCCACCCUGAGUGUGAGUCACAGAGACCCUGGCCGGGGCACCCUCCACCCCCAGGCUUCCUCAGGGCUGUGGGCUGUGGCGGGACUAUGGAAGGGAGCAGGGAGAGACCCUGCCACCACCCGGAGUGGCUACGCGAGUGUGGACUGCAGGCUCCUCCUGGGGAAGCUGGGCAGGCUCGCUUUCUGGUCACGGGGCCAUUCCAGGGGGCAUCCCUUGCUCCGGGUCCCCUGCAGUGAGGGGCCUGUGAACCCCACCAGGGCAACAGCCCCUCCCAGGGACCCCUCCUUUCCUGUAGGGCG
rnacentral:lncRNA from 10 species